GACGAACGCUGGCGGCGUGCUUAACACAUGCAAGUCGAACGAAGUGGCGAACGGGUGAGUAACGCGUAAUCAACCUGCCCUUCCUAGGGGUACAACAGUUGGAAACGACUGCUAAUACCGCAUACUGAAGGAGGGGAUUGCGUCUGAUUAGCUAGUUGGAGGGGUAACGGCCCACCAAGGCGAUGAUCCGUAGCCGGUCUGAGAGGAUGAACGGCCACAUUGGGACUGAGACACGGCCCAGACUACUACGGGAGGCAGCAGUGGGGAAGCUUCCGCAAUGGACGAAAGUCUGACGAAGCAACGCCGCGUGAGUGAUGACGGCCUUCGGGUUGUAAAGCUCUGUUAAUCGGGACGCGGUACCGGAAUAGAAAGCCACGGCUAACUACGUGCCAGCAGCCGCGGUAAUAC
rnacentral:rRNA from 1 species